CCUACGGGAGGCAGCAGUGGGGAAUUUUGGACAAUGGGCGAAAGCCUGAUCCAGCAAUGCCGCGUGCAGGAAGAAGGCCUUCGGGUUGUAAACUGCUUUUGUACGGAACGAAACGGUUCGCUUUAAUACAGUGGGCUAAUGACGGUACCGUAAGAAUAAGCACCGGCUAACUACGUGCCAGCAGCCGCGGUAAUACGUAGGGUGCGAGCGUUAAUCGGAAUUACUGGGCGUAAAGCGUGCGCAGGCGGUUAUAUAAGACAGUUGUGAAAUCCCCGGGCUCAACCUGGGAAUUGCAUCUGUGACUGUAUAGCUAGAGUACGGUAGAGGGGGAUGGAAUUCCGCGUGUAGCAGUGAAAUGCGUAGAUAUGCGGAGGAACACCGAUGGCGAAGGCAAUCCCCUGGACCUGUACUGACGCUCAUGCACGAAAGCGUGGGGAGCAAACAGGAUUAGAUACCCUGGUAGUCCACGCCCUAAACGAUGUCAACUGGUUGUUGGGUGCAUUAGUACUCAGUAACGAAGCUAACGCGUGAAGUUGACCGCCUGGGGAGUACGGCCGCAAGGUUGAAACUCAAAAUGAAUUGACGG
rnacentral:rRNA from 1 species